rnacentral:lncRNA from 1 species
CUUUUAAAUGUAGGUACAUGUCAAAAAAGUGCUGCUAGCUAAAAUUACCGACACUUUUAAAAAGUGUUGCUAUAUGUGGGGUCGCUAGAUAUAUAGUAAUAAUUAAAGAGUGUCGCUAUAACCUAAAAGAGUGCUGCUAAGUUACCAACAUUUAUUUAAGUAUUUAGCAACCGUCGAAACUCUAUCUCGUUGGCUGCGGUGGCGGAGGAGGACGACAGGAAAGGCUCUUCGUCUAGAAUUUCAGUGGAUUGAGUGAAGAGAGAAAAAAAGAUGGUAAUUGAUUUUUCUUUUUUUUUUUUCUUUUCUGUUUAUAAUCGGGCCAAAUGAACUGGGUGUGGUGAGUUGAGUAGAGUAAUCUUUUAUUUUUGAUUGGAUUGGGCUUUAUAUUUAGGCAUUAGUAGAUAUUUUUUUAAGUUUUAGGAUAAAUGGGACACUUACUCAAAAGUGUCCCAAACAUGUGUCCCAAACAUGUGUCCCUAUAAUCUAAUUCUGUUGUAGUGAUGUGGUGCACAAUACAGAUGCACCACAGCAAAUAAUAAUUGUUCCUCUAACAAUAUAAUAGAACAGCCACUAAAGUAAAGCAGUUUAGAAAGUUUAGAAUGUCAAAUGUCCACUUCAAAAGUUUGAUAAUCAAAGUGGCACUAAUCGGCCAAAAGACC